rnacentral:sRNA from 1 species
UAUAAUGAGGUAUUAUGUGGUUGAAUG